GGUGAGUAUUAUAGGAUCUACCUAGUAGUAUGGAAUAAUUGUUGGAAACGGCAACUAAUACCGUAUACGCCYUACGGGGGAAAAAUUUAUUGCUAUUGGAUGAGCCUAUAUUAGAUUAGCUAGUUGGUGGAGUAAUAGCCUACCAAGGCAAUGAUCUAUAGCUGAUCUGAGAGGAUGAUCAGCCACACUGGAACUGAGAUACGGUCCAGACUCYUACGGGAGGCAGCAGUGGGGAAUAUUGGACAAUGGGCGAAAGCCUGAUCCAGCCAUGCCGCAUGAGUGAAGAAGGCCUUUGGGUUGUAAAGCUCUUUUAGUGAGGAAGAUAAUGACGGUACUCACAGAAGAAGUCCUGGCUAACUCCGUGCCAGCAGCCGCGGUAAUACGGAGAGGGCUAGCGUUAUUCGGAAUUAUUGGGCGUAAAGGGCGCGUAGGCUGGUUAAUAAGUUAAAAGUGAAAUCCCGAGGCUUAACCUUGGAAUUGCUUUUAAAACUAUUAAUCUAGAGAUUGAAAGAGGAUAGAGGAAUUCCUGAUGUAGAGGUAAAAUUCGUAAAUAUUAGGAGGAACACCAGUGGCGAAGGCGUCUAUCUGGUUCAAAUCUGACGCUGAAGCGCGAAGGCGUGGGGAGCAAACAGGAUUAGAUACCCUGGUAGUCCACGCUGUAAACGAUGAAUGUUAAAUAUNGGGAAGUUUACUUUCUGUAUUACAGCUAACGCGUUAAACAUUCCGCCUGGGGACUACGGUCGCAAGAUUAAAACUCNAAAGGAAUUGACGGGGACCCGCACAAGCGGUGGAGCAUGUGGGUUUAAUUCGAUGCAACGCGAAAACCUACACUUCUUG
rnacentral:rRNA from 1 species